rnacentral:rRNA from 1 species
UACGGAAGGGGCUAGCGUUGUUCGGAAUCACUGGGCGUAAAGCGCGCGUAGGCGGCCUUGCAAGUGCGGCGUGAAAGUCCUGGGCUCAACCUGGGGACGGCGCUGCGGACUGCUCGGCUGGAGUCCGGAAGAGGGUGGUGGAAUUCCGAGUGUAGAGGUGAAAUUCGUAGAUAUUCGGAGGAACACCGGUGGCGAAGGCGGCCACCUGGUCCGGUACUGACGCUGAAGCGCGAAAGCGUGGGGAGCAAACAGGAUUAGAAACCCCCGUAGUCC